CAAAAGGAUCUUCUAAAAUCCACCAAAGAGAAGGGAAAAAAAAACAU
rfam:Ictidomys tridecemlineatus contig100660, whole genome shotgun sequence.